GCGCCCGUAGCCCAGCUGGAUAGAGCAACAGGCUACGAACCUGUAGGUCGGGCGUUCGAAUCGCUCCGGGCGCGCCA
rnacentral:tRNA from 2 species